AUCGCUUCUCGGCCUUUUGGCUCAGAUCAAGUGUAGUAUCUGUUCUUAUCAGUUUAAUAUCUGAUACGUCCCCAUCGGGGGACUACAUAUUAAAUGGAUUUUUCGAACAGGGAGUCGGAAAUGGGGCUUGCUCCGUCCGCUCCACGCAUCGACCCGGUAUUGCAGUACCUCCGGGAAUGGUGCAACACUU
rnacentral:snRNA from 1 species